rnacentral:lncRNA from 1 species
GUGCCCAUGCCCACACUCAUCACCCAACUACCGGGUCUGCCUGCUUCUGGUCAGUCAGUAAAUCUUGGCCUUUGCCUGGUUCUGACGCCUCACACUCCUCUGGUUGGAACUGGAGAUGAGAAAGAAUACAGAUUAACCCAGGUUCUUCCCCAGGGUCCAUCUGUCUGUCCACUCUCAUCUGUCCCACUCUCAUCCAUCCAUCCAACUUGUAUCUCACACCCAGCAUCAGUGGGUCCAAGUGUCCAUCCGUCCAUCCAACGUCAUCCACCCUCUCAUCCGUUCGGCAUCCACCAUCCGACCGACCCCUACUCCCAAUCCAGCUUCUAUUUAUUCAACACCUCUCCAUCCAUCACGUAUGGAUCCUCCUCCGUCUGCUCAACAUCUGCUCAUCCAUCCACCAUCAUCCCAGCCCUCAUUUCCCAUUCAUCACCCAGUGUUAACUCAUCCCUGUGACAUUCUCCAUCCAUAGCCCGCCAGCACACCCCGCAGCCACCCUCUACUCUUCCAGCAUCCGUGUAUCCACCAUUGGUCAUUUGUCCGUCAUCCAUCCAUCCCAUUCACACAUCUGGCACCUAUCAUUCACCCGUGGGACAGUCUACCCGCUGUCCCACGGCCUCCCUGUGUUUCUCAGAUGCUCCUCGACGGAGCCAUGACCAGCCAUCCACUGAGCCAAGCCCCUUCAGGCCUGGGCCAGGGCCAGAGGCACACAGAUGAAGAAGGCUGG